AUAAUUUACUUUUAAAGGCACAGAGUUAUACUGGAGAUAUGGAAGAGCUGUGUUGGGUAUAAGUAACAGGCUUUUCUUUAUCUUCUAUGUGGCUCUUUGCAUUGUGCUCACCUGGGACC
rnacentral:precursor_RNA from 1 species